rnacentral:lncRNA from 1 species
UUAAACUCGAGGUUGACUUUGAUGGCGAUUGUGUAUAUAUAUAAGAUUCUUACAACUAGAGUUGUAUAAAGAAGGUGGGGUCGUUUUUGGGGUUGUUCAGGGUUCACUUGGAGAGUUAUUCACUUCUGAAUGUUUUUUUGUAUCUCUUCCAAAAUUACCCAUUAGGUGCAUUAGGACUUAUAUUUCUUUUAUUCCUUUAAACCCAUUUCUAAGCCAAAACUUGGUUCCACAAGCAAAAAGUAACAAAUGGCACUGAGAAAAUUACAGCACUUUACUUGUCUCAUUACUAAGUUACUGUAAAAAUUUGGGAGCCAUCGGAUUACCACAACAAGAAUUAAACGUAUUUUACCACCAAGGGUAGCAUGCACUUAACUAUUUUUAUCUCAAAACCUACAGUGAUUCUGAGGAUAAAAUUUUAACAGUAGGUUGAAGGUGUGUUACGGAGACUUUGGUGAAAUUUUCAUGAUUUUUGGAGAAGGACAUCUAUUUCCCAUAUUUUUC